rnacentral:rRNA from 1 species
UACGUAGGGUGCAAGCGUUAAUCGGAAUUACUGGGCGUAAAGCGUGCGCAGGCGGUUGUGCAAGACAGAUGUGAAAUCCCCGGGCUCAACCUGGGAAUUGCAUUUGUGACUGCACGGCUAGAGUGUGGCAGAGGAGACUGGAAUUCCCGGUGUAGCAGUGAAAUGCGUAGAUAUCGGGAGGAAUACCGAUGGCGAAGGCAGGUCUCUGGGCUGACACUGACGCUCAUGCACGAAAGCGUGGGGAGCAAACAGG